GUAUUGUAUUGCGUUAAACGCGUCAUGCAUUCCAUGAGACUUUGUUACAGAGUGUGUGUAAAGACGUAGAACCACGACAGGAGGACAGAGCCCCCCAUGCCACAGAGCUACAGAGGGUGCACAGGUGUGAGUGGAUGUGUAAACAGAGCGUGCACAUGCCCCCGUUUGAGGACCAGCAACAACUCGUGUUGACAAUUUGGUAAUGAUCCUUCCGCAGGUUCACCUACGGAAA
rnacentral:misc_RNA from 1 species